AAAUACAUAUUUCCUUUUCUUUUAUUCGAUUAUUUCAAAUUAUCCAACCAUCGAUUUCGUUCCAUUUUCGUUCCUUCAAUCAUCUCAUAAUAAAACAAGUUUAAGUGAUGUUUUGGGAUUGAAAAUCAUUCGUCUUAAAAUUUUGUGACAUGGUCGAAUGGCAUAGGGCCUAAAUAAUUUGUAUUUUAUUUUUAUUAUUUUGAAAAUCAUUAGUACUAAUACGAUCUUUUUUUAACAUGAAGGACUGAUUAGCAAUCCACCGAGAAAUCAAUAGUAAAACAUUGCGAGAGUGAUGAAUCCGAG
rnacentral:lncRNA from 1 species